AUAGCACUUUUGUGUCCUGGCUUUUUAUUUCUAAGAUUAGUCUUAACUGACAAUUCUGAGGAAGUAAGCAGUAGAAAGAGAGUUUGGAUAAAUUCUUCCAUCCCUGACUGCACCUCAAAGUGUCACUCCCUGAAACAUGCGUUGGAUGUCCUUUCUGUGGUGACAAAGGGAAGUGAGAAGCAGAUCAAGGCCUUCCUCUGCAGCCACUGUUGCAAUGCCGCCACCGUCAGGGAUGCCUUCGGCAGGAACGCCCUGCACCUGGUCUCCUCCUGUGGGAAGAGGGGCAUGCUGGACUGGCUCAUCGAGAGAGGGGCGGACCUGCUGGUCAAGGACAAGGAGUCAGGGUGGAUGGCACUACACAGAGGCGUUUUCUAUGGACACAUUGAUUGCGUUUGGUCUCUGUUAAAGCAUGGCGUCAGUCUGUAUAUUCAAGAUGAAGAAGGCUUGUCCGCUUUGGAUCUUAUAAUGAAGGAUAGACCAACUCAUGUGGUAUUCAGGAGUACUGAUCCUACAGAUGUCUACACUUGGAGUGAUAAUACAAAUUUUACCCUGGGUCAUGGAAGCCAGAAUAGCAAACACCAUCCAGAAUUGGUGGAUCUUUUCUCCAGGAGUGGAGUUUAUAUCAAACAGGUGGUGCUUUGUAAAUUUCACUCAGUGUUUCUGUCUCAGAAAGGGCAAGUUUAUACAUGUGGUCACCGUCCUGGAGGUUAAUUAGGUCAUGGAGAUGAGCAGACUUGCUUAUUUGCUUUGUAGAUCCCCAGGCUGGUGGAAGGACUGAGUGGCCAUAACUGUUCCCAAGUGGCAGCUGCCGAGGACCACACUGUUGUACUAACUGAAGACAGAUGUGUUUAUACAUUUGGUCUGAACGUUUUUCAUCAAUUGGGAAUUAUUCCUCCACCUUCCAGCUGUAAUGUACCUAGACAGAUGCAGGGAAAAUACCUAAAAGGAAGAACAAUCAUUGGGGUUGCAGCAGGCAAGUUUCCCACAGUUCUUUGGACUAGAGACACUGUUUACACUCUGGGACUAAAUAGUGGACAACCAGGCUACUUACUAGAUCCUAAUGGAGAGAAGUGUGUCACUGCCCCACACCAAGUCUCUGCCCUUCAACACAAAGACGUCACUCUGUCCUUGGUCGCUGCCAGCAACAGCGCCACCAUCUGUGUCACCACAAGGGGUGAUGUUUACUUGCUCGCAGACUAUCAGUGCAAAAAGAUGGCUUCUAAACAAUUGAACUUGAAAAAGGUUCUUGUGUCUGGUGGUUGUAUAGAAUACAAAGUUGAUCCUAAACAUUUGAAAGAAAAUGGGGAUCAAAAAAUUUGCAUUCUUGCAAUGGAUGGCGCUGGAAGGGUUUUUUGCUGGAGAUCAGCCAGCAGUUCUCUGAAGCAGUGUCGAUGGGCCUUUCCACGCCAGGUCUUCAUUUCUGAUAUUGCCUUAAAUAGAAAUGAGAUUCUAUUUGUCACACAGGAUGGAGAAGGAUUUAGAGGGAAAUGGUCUGAAGAAAAAAGGAGGAGUUCUGAAAAAAAGAUAUUUUCUCAAACCUUCAUAAUUACUCAUUGGAUGCGUCUUAUAUCUCUGAUGUGAAUAGUGUGGAAACUUGCUUUUGCCCAUAGAGCCAUCAGCAUCAGCAUCAGCACAGACCUGAGUGGAUGCAACUUUGCCAUCCUACAGUCAGAUCCUAAAACAAUCCUGUAUGAGAUUCCCUCUGUGUCUUCAUCAUCCUUCUUUGAAGAGUUUGGCAAACUGUUGAGGGAAACCGAUGAAAUGGACAGUAUCCACGAUGUGACAUUUUGAGUUGGGAAUAGAAUCUUCCCUGCACAUAAAUACAUUUUGGCAGUGCGUUCUGACUUCUUUCAGAAGUUGUUUCUCUCAGAUGAUACUAGUUUAGAAUUUACAGAUGUUUACCAGAAAGAUGAAGAUUCUGCAGGGUGCCAUCUCUUGUGGUGGAGAAGGUUCAUCCUGACUUGUUUGAAUACCCUCUGCAGUUUAUAUACACAGAUACUUGUGACUUCUUAACUCAUGGCUUCAAACCAAGAAUACCCUCAAACAAAAAAAAAAAAAAAAAAAACAGAAGAAUAUCAAAGCGCUCUGAAUUCUCAUUUGAAUAAAGUGAAUUGCUGUGAGGAUGAUAAUCAGAAGUCAACAUUUGAAGUUUAUAAGAGUAACCAAGCUCAUACAAUUGGUGAAAAGCAGAAAAGUAAACCUAAAUCUUAUGAAAAGUGGUGGGGAAGAUGAUCCUGUAAGAAUGCUGCAAAAUGUUGCAAAGAAAUUUGUCUUCGGUACUUUGGGCAGUAGGUUGGAUGGAAUCAGAUUUGAAAAUGAAAAGAUUAAUGUUAUUGCCAAGAAAACUGGUAAUAAACUGAAGCUAAACCGGAAAAAAUGCUCAUUUCUGUGUGAUGUGACCAUGAAGUCAGUGGAUGGAAAGGAAUUCCCCUGUCACAAAUGUGUUCUCUGUGCCAGACUCCAUUAUUUUCAUAGAAUGCUGAGUAGCUCCUGGAUUGAGGCUUCCAGUUGUGCAGCUCUGGAAAUGCCGAUACAUUCUGAUAUCCUGCAAGUGACUUUGGACUACCUCUACACUGAUGAAGCUGUAGGGGUCAAAGAAUCUCAAAAUGUGUAUUUUAUUUGUAGUGUUCUUGUGGUGACUGAUCAGCUUCUCAUAAUUCGAUUGAAAGAGAUUUGUGAAGUAGCAUUAAUUGAAAGACUAACCCUUAAGAAUGCUGCUAUGCUCCUGGAAUUUGCAGUAAUGUAUAACGCUGAACAAUUGAAAUUAUCUUGUUUACAGUUCAUUGGACUGAACAUGGCAGCUUUACUUGAAGCAAGGUCUCUUGAUGUUUUAAGUGAUGGUGUAUUGAAGGAUCUUUCUAUGUUCUACUGAAAAAUGAUUCCAGCAAUGGAUAGAAGAUUCAUUACACCUUAUCAAGAUGAACCAGGUAUUAGCUAUUUGGAAGUAGAAAAUGGAGACAUCUUUUUAAAAGAAGAAAUAAAUAUAGAACAAAAUAUUUGGAAACUGUUUUCAAAAAGGCAAAAAUGAAAGCUAAAAAGAAGCCACAUAAAUGUUCAGAUAGUUCCGGAGGCUAUAAUCUUUCUGAUGUUUUUCGGAGUCCACCAUCUUCAGAGCUAUUGACGUCAGACUCGGAAGGGAGCUGUGCAGGCCUGGGCAGUCCCCAAGACCUGCAGUCCCCCGAUUUCACGGCAGCGUUUUCUGCAGAGAAGAUCCAGGGGAGAGUUAAAACAUUUGUUAAUGGUACACCUCCCACAGAAUCUAAGGAAGAUUUAAAACCCUGGGAAAAGUCACCAGUGCUUAAAAUCUCUGCUCCACAGCCCAUUCCCAGUAACAGAGUCGACAGCACCAGCUCUACCAGUUGGGUUGCUGGCUCUUUCAGUCCUGUCAGCCCCCACAUUGUGGAUCUCAGAAUCAUCAUGGAGAUAGGAGAAAGAAAGCAGACAGAAGUGGGGAGCCACACCAAAGCCAAACUCAGGCACAAUGAUUUUGCACAGAGUUAAACUUUCUCAGAAGCAACGGAAAACGAUUGCAUUGACUACCAAAGAAAAUUCAGGAAUGAAUAGCAUGGAAACAGUUUUAACCACUCCUUCAAAAGCCCCCAGACCAGGGAACCUAUGGUCACCAUCUCCACACUCAGUGUCAUCCAAGUCAUUCCAGGAUUUCCUUCUAGAAGAAAAAAAGUCUGUCACUGGUCAUAGUUCAGGUGAUCAUGUCAAAAAAGUUUGUUUUAAAGGAGUUGAAAAUUCUCAGACUCCAAAAGUUGUAAGAUGCUCUGCCCACGGCACCCCAGGACCAGAAGGCAGCCGCAUUUCGGACUCACCACUUCUAGACAGUCCCGAUCCCUGGCUGUGUUCCUCAGUGACGGCCCCCUCCGUGGCAGCCCCAGUCACAUUUGCCUCGAUUGUGGAAGAGGAGCCACAGCAGAGGAGGCAGCUCUGAUCAGAAGUCGGGAAAAGCCUCUGGCUCAGAUUGAGGAACAUGCAAUACAAGAUUUAUUGGCUUUCUAUGAAGCAUUUGGCAACCCUGAUGAGUUUGUCAUUGUUGAAAGGACACCGCAGGGCCCACUGGCAGUGCCUAUGUGGAAUAAGCGUGGAUGCUAGCUCACUGUGAGGCCAAGACACAUUCUCCACAGGUACCAUUACUGCAGUGUAAAGAAUCAGCUGU